UCCCCCUGACAAUGGACAAAGAGACAUCUUGGUGGUGUUGAUCUUGUAUCAGUCAGGGGCAGAGCAGAUGGCGGUCCUUUAUUCAUCUCAGCUCGAUGUCUGGCUUGGUGGCCAAAGCUGUCUCACGCCUAGAACUCAUGG